UACAGAGGUCCCAAGCGUUGUUCGGAUUCACUGGGCGUAAAGGGUGCGUAGGCGGUCGGGUAAGUCUGAUGUGAAAUCUCGGAGCUCAACUCCGAAACUGCAUUGGAUAUUAUUCGGCUUGAGGUCUGGAGGGGGGACUGGAAUUCUCGGUGUAGCAGUGAAAUGCGUAGAUAUCGGGAGGAACACCUGUGGCGAAAGCGGCGCACUGGACCAUAACUGACGCUGAUGCGCGAAAGCUAGGGGAGCAAACAGG
rnacentral:rRNA from 1 species